UCCAUCGAAAACAGGCGGAUCAAACUUCUUGAAUGUCAUAAGGGCUGCCAAAGCCCGCUCUUUCUCCGCCUCCACUUCCACAGAAUCAGAGGCCACUACCCCUGAAUCCAUCGCCACUCCUGCCGGUACACGGCGCGCUGCUACCGGCGCAGCCACCGCAGUCUGUCGUGCCAACAACUCAUGGAGCUCCUUGAUCUGCUCCUCCUGUCGCAGCACUACGCCCAUGAGCGUACUCGUCUGCUCGCGGAGCACCGGGUCUCCGCUCGCCUCGGAUUGCUCAGGGAGAUCACCUGUCCCACCCCGCAUCGAUCUAGACGAAGGUCGCCU
rnacentral:lncRNA from 1 species